ensembl:lncRNA
CUGAUUUAUUUGCACCCUGACCCCUGCUCCCGUCUCAGCCUGUAUUUACAGAUCCGCCUUUGUGUCCUGUUGACUGUUUCAUGCCUUCAACCAGGAGCUCCAUACGCAUGAGGAGGAGGCACAAUCAUCAAAGGUAUUUGCUGCUAUUUUUCAAGAAUUCUGGUAGUGAGUAUCCAACUAUUGCAAGCCUCCACCUGUUCCUGGGGAGCGGCUUCUGAAACACAGUCACACACUUCCAACAGCCCACGUAAGCUGACAGGUGGACGUGUCCUCCGGGGUGAACUCAGGGGUAGCAGAAGACCCUGCUUCCAAACAGUCCUGCCACCUUCUUGGUGAAUAAAUGAGGAAAAUCUCCCCUAGGGAAGAGCAGUGUACAAACGUCCAUUGACUCAAAGUUCAAUUCAGUUCAGUUGCUCAGUCCUGUCCAGCUCUCUGCGACCCCAUGGACUGCAGCACGCCAGGCCUCCCUGUCCAUCACCAACUCCUGGAGUUCACUCAGACUCACAUCCAUCGAGUCAGUGAUGCCAUCCAACCAUCUCAUCCUCUGUCGUCCCCUUCUCCUCCUGCCUCAAUCUUUCCCAGCAUCAGGGUCUUUUCAGAUGAGUGAGUUCUUCACAUCAGGUGGUCAAAGUAUUGGAGCUUCAGCUUCCACAUCAGUCCUUCCAGUGAACACUUAGGACUGACCUGACUCAAAGUUAUUGAUAAUCAAUCAGAUCAAGUUUUAACAGAGGAGAAGAGGGAAGAAAGACGGGGGCCCGCAGUUUUGAUAAGAGAGCAAAGAGAGGGAUGCAGAGGAUGAAAUGAAAGGCGGCCAAUAGCAGACUUGUCCACUUCGCCCUGGAUGGAGCAGAAUGAGCAACAGCGGGAGGCUCCAGGGCUUCCCGGGAGACCCAGCGGUAAAGAGUCCUUCGCCGUUACAGGAGGUGUGGGUUCGGUGCCUGAGUCAGGGAGAUGCGCUGGAGGAGGGAAUGGCAACCCACUCCAGUGCUUUUGCCUGGGAAAUCCAUGGACAGAGGAGCCUGGUUGGCUGCAGUCCACGGUACUGCAAAGAGUCAGACUCGAUUUAGUGAAUAAAGAAAGUUCUAGCCUGGCCCUGUCUGACUCCCCUGUUGAAACACUUCCAGUGAUGUUGAUGCGAGAAGUUGGCUCAGAUCCGACCAGAAAUGCACUUAAACCCAUCCCAUCAAACCAGCCCGUCGUUAGCUGGUCCCUCUGAGCGAGCUGCGGGUGUUGAGGCACAAAGGGUUCUCCCGUCUCUGCAGCCCAGGCGGCACCGCCAACGCGGGCCGACAGCGCCUUCUCCACCACCCACGCACCCAGCCCGGCAUAGCCCGGCCCCUAGAGAGCGGCGCCGCGAUGCUCCGCGGCCCCAGAGCCUCCUCCCGCUCGCCUCCAUCUGACUGUAUGGUCCGGCUGUGUGUUGAUCCGGGGUCCUUCAAGGGAUGGAGGUGAUAGGAACUUGAUCACAGAGGAGGCUGUUGAUGAGGGGAGCAGCCGGAGGGUCUAUUUAAUCUCAGAAUUAAGGAUAAGUGAUGUGGUCUUCUGGGCUUCCCUGGUGGCUCAGAAGGUAAGAAUCCGCCUGCGGUGCAGGAGACCCAGGUUCCAUCUCUAGGUUGGAAAGAUCCCCUGGAGAAGGGAAUGGCUGCCCACUCCAGUGUUCUUGCCUGGAGAUUCCCAUGGACAGAGGAGCCUGGCGGGCCACAGUCCAGGGCGUCGCAGAGAGCUGGACGCGAGUAAGCA